GAUGAACGCUGGCGGCGUGCCUAAUACAUGCAAGUCGAGCGAACGGACGAGAAGCUUGCUUCUCUGAUGUUAGCGGCGGACGGGUGAGUAACACGUGGAUAACCUACCUAUAAGACUGGGAUAACUUCGGGAAACCGUAGCUAAUACCGGAUAAUAUUUUGAACCGCAUGGUUCAAAAGUGAAAGACGGUCUUGCUGUCACUUAUAGAUGUAUCCGCGCUGCAUUAGCUAGUUGGUAAGGUAACGGCUUACCAAGGCAACGAUGCAUAGCCGACCUGAGAGGGUGAUCGGCCACACUGGAACUGAGACACGGUCCAGACUCCUACGGGAGGCAGCAGUAGGGAAUCUUCCGCAAAGGGCGAAAGCCUGACGGAGCAACGCCGCGUGAGUGAUGAAGGUCUUCGGAUCGUAAAACUCUGUUAUUAGGGAAGAACAUAUGUGUAAGUAACUGUGCACAUCUUGACGUUACCUACUCAGAAAGCCACGGCUAACUACGUG
rnacentral:rRNA from 1 species